ensembl:lncRNA
CAACACCUUGCCUCUUGCAAUGGCACGUACCACUGAUGUUCAUCAUCAUCCAUGCUGAUAUCAGUGUAGCAGUGUGUCAACUUGACUCAUGACGUUAGGGAAGGAGGAGAUUGCUCCUUAUACCUGCAGGCACCUAUUGAUCAUGUGGCAGAAAAACAGGGAAGGAAGCAGCAAAGCAACAGUAUGUACGAUGCUAAUCGAUUGAAUAGCCCAUGGCCUAUGAUGUGUGCAAGAAGUAGCCGUGAUCUAAUGUAUCAGUAGCAUGGAGGGUGGCUGACAAUCGCCACAGGUACGCUCAGACCUGCUGAGCCUCAAAAAUCUUAACCAAAAUACCUGCUGAUAGGACCACAUUGUUGUCUAGAUAUGGAUUACAAAACAAGGAGUUGUUAAUUUCUGAUGCACAGUGCCUUUUUUUGUUUUUUGUUUUUUUUUUUUCUAGUCAGGAGCUCUGCAGUGGCAAUAUAUCUGUUUUUGGCCCAAAGUGGCUUGGCACUGUUCUAUCUAAUCUGGCCAGAUUCCUAUAGCUCUUUAGCAUAGUAAUUUGUUAUGAGCAAGUUCAUUGUGCUUCAUCCCCUUUUGGAAAUUUGCAAAAUGAUAUACUAACUAGUCCCUCCCUGCCAGCUGAUCUUUGGAUAUGACAUCAUGUGUCAUCACUGCAUGCUGGAGAUAGGACAAGCUCCACUGUAACAAAACCAUCAUUGAAACUUCCUUGCUGUCUGGAAUGAAAGAGCCUAAAUUCUGGUUUUGUGCGUAUUCCUUCCAUAUGGACAGGGAUCUAUGGGACUCAUCAGCUGUCUGCCUUGCCCUUUCACCUCAACAAUCUCAUGAAAAUUUAAAACAUGGGCGUAUUGGUUCGUGUUUUCAUUGUUCAGCCGUGCCUAGAAGGAGGGGAAAUCCAUCCAUUAGAGGUGAUAUCAUCAAUCCCAGAAACAACUGAAAAUAACCUUAAUGCAGUCUGAGCAACUACCACAAGGAAACACUAAAAAAGAGCACAGAGAUGUUAUAACAUAUGCAUUUGCUCUUCAUGUAAGCACCAAGCAACAUGUAUAUCCAUUACCUUUUCUUCCAAAAAUAUUCAAAUCAAUUAAUAAUAAAAGUAUCUCCUUGGUAUCUUUAUACAGUACAUUUGUCCUGGAAUAUAAGACUCACCUGGGAAUCCCGAGGAUCUCAAAAUUACACUUUAAUGAGAGAGAAUGGCUCUGUGUUUCCAAAGAAUCCAUCAGUUCCAUACUUUGAAAUGUCCUGAUGGAAGACAUGAGGUUCCUUCCUUGACAGUUUUCAACAAGCGUUUAAAGGAUCUGUGUGGUGGUAAAGGAGAAGAAACUGCUUACAGCUUCCCUCUUCAAGGGCUCGUUCCAUACUGACUCUAUCCCUGCUCUAAUUUGGACAAGUCUCAGGUCUGCCUAACCAAUGCUGAAUGCCCAGUGCUUCCCGCAAGCUCCCCAUAGAGACUGCACUAGAAAACAGAGGCAAGUCUUUCCCUUAUGAGAUGAUCC